rnacentral:rRNA from 1 species
CCUACGGGAUGCAGCAGUGAGGAAUAUUGGUCAAUGGACGAGCGUCUGAACCAGCCAAGUAGCGUGAAGGAUGACUGCCCUAUGUGUUGUAAACUUCUUUUAUAUGGGAAUAAAAUGUUGCAAGUGUGGGAUUUUGUUUGUACCAUAUGAAUAAGUAUCGGCUAACUCCGUGCCAGCAGCCGCGGUAAUACGGAGGAUCCGAGCGUUAUCCGGAUUUAUUGGGUUUACAUGGGGCGUAGGCGGUUUGUUAAGUCAGUUGUGAAAGUUUGGGGCUCAAACGUAGAAUGGCAGUUGAAACUGGCAGUCUUGAGUACAGUAGAGGUGGGCGGAAUGCGUGGUGUAGCGGUGAAAUGCUUAGAUAUCACGAAGAACUCCGAUUGCGAAGGCAGCUCACUGGACUGCAACUGACACUGAGGCUCGAAAGUGUGGGUAUCAAACAGGAUUAGAUACCCUUGUAGUC